GGAAAAAGGACUCCUCGUGUCUCUGUUUUUCUGUUUGGUGUUUGAGAGACUUGGGGAGAUCCAGCUCUUUGAGAAGCCUCUGUUAAUACUAAUGCUAUCUCAUGAGCAACAUCAUCAUCUAGUGCAUCAGCCUUUAAUUUCAAACCUUGUCUAACUGGUGAAAUAUACUUCUCCCGGUUGUCUUUGUCAAAUGAAUGAGAAACAGGGACACGAGGAGUCCUUUUUCCAACAGCC
rnacentral:misc_RNA from 1 species